rnacentral:rRNA from 1 species
GACGAACGCUGGCGGCGUGCCUAAUACAUGCAAGUAGAACGCACAGUUUAUACCGUAGCUUGCUACACCAUAGACUGUGAGUUGCGAACGGGUGAGUAACGCGUAGGUAACCUGCCUGGUAGCGGGGGAUAACUAUUGGAAACGAUAGCUAAUACCGCAUAAUAUUAAUUAUUGCAUGAUAAUUAAUUGAAAGGUGCAAUUGCACCACUACCAGAUGGACCUGCGUUGUAUUAGCUAGUAGGUGAGGUAACGGCUCACCUAGGCGACGAUACAUAGCCGACCUGAGAGGGUGAUCGGCCACACUGGGACUGAGACACGACCCAGACUCCUACGGGAGGCAGCAGUAGGGAAUCUUCGGCAAUGGACGAAAGUCUGACCGAGCAACGCCGCGUGAGUGAAGAAGGUUUUCGGAUCGUAAAGCUCUGUUGUAAGAGAAGAACGGGUGUGAGAGUGGAAAGUUCACACUGUGACGGUACCUUACCAGAAAGGGACGGCUAACUACGUG